GACGAACGCUGGCGGCGCGCUUAACACAUGCAAGUCGAGCGAUGAAAUUUCGACUGAUCCCUUCGGGGUGAAGAUGAAAUGGAUUAGCGGCGGACGGGUGAGUAACACGUGAGUAACCUGCCUUUGACAUUGGGAUAGCCUCGGGAAACUGGGAUUAAUACCAAAUGACACUAACUGAUCACAUGAUCAAUUAGUCAAAGAAAUUCGGUCAAAGAUGGAGUCGCGGCUGAUUAGCUAGUUGGUGAGGUAUCGGCCCACCCAGGCGACGAUCAGUAGCCGGCCUGAGAAGGUGAUCGGCCACAUUGGAACUGAGACCCGGUCCAAACUCCUACGGGAGGCAGCAGUGGGGAAUAUUGCAGAAUGGGGGAAACCCUGAUGCAGCGACGCCGCGUGAGCGAAGAAGGCCUUCGGGUCGUAAAGCUCUUUUAUGAGGGAAGAUAAUGACGGUACCUCAAGAAAAAGCCCCGGCUAACUACGUG
rnacentral:rRNA from 1 species